rnacentral:rRNA from 1 species
GGCGGACGGGUGAGUAACGCGUAAAGAACUUGCCCUUUAGACUGGGAUAACAGAGGGAAACUUCUGAUAAUACUGGAUAAGUUAGUAUAUCGCAUGAUAUGCAAAUGAAAGCUACGGCACUAAAGGAGAGCUUUGCGUCCUAUUAGCUAGUUGGUAAGGUAAGAGCUUACCAAGGCGAUGAUAGGUAGCCGGCCUGAGAGGGUGGACGGCCACAAGGGGACUGAGGUACGGCCCUUACUCCUACGGGAGGCAGCAGCC